rnacentral:rRNA from 1 species
GUACUUGUACCGACUGGAUGAGCAGCGAACGGGUGAGUAACGCGUGGGGAAUCUGCCUUUGAGCGGGGGACAACAUUUGGAAACGAAUGCUAAUACCGCAUAAAAACUUUAAACACAAGUUUUAAGUUUGAAAGAUGCAAUUGCAUCACUCAAAGAUGAUCCCGCGUUGUAUUAGCUAGUUGGUGAGGUAAAGGCUCACCAAGGCGAUGAUACAUAGCCGACCUGAGAGGGUGAUCGGCCACAUUGGGACUGAGACACGGCCCAAACUCCUACGGGAGGCAGCAGUAGGGAAUCUUCGGCAAUGGACGAAAGUCUGACCGAGCAACGCCGCGUGAGUGAAGAAGGUUUUCGGAUCGUAAAACUCUGUUGGUAGAGAAGAACGUUGGUGAGAGUGGAAAGCUCAUCAAGUGACGGUAACUACCCAGAAAGGGACGGCUAACUACGUGCCAGCAGCCGCGGUAAUACGUAGGUCCCGAGCGUUGUCCGGAUUUAUUGGGCGUAAAGCGAGCGCAGGUGGUUUAUUAAGUCUGGUGUAAAAGGCAGUGGCUCAACCAUUGUAUGCAUUGGAAACUGGUAGACUUGAGUGCAGGAGAGGAGAGUGGAAUUCCAUGUGGUAGCGG